CGUGCUUUGACGGUCAGGUAGACUAUGUACUACGUGUGACUCGAGGUGUGUGCGUAUUUUGUGGGCGUAAGUCGAGCUCAGUCGGUUUGAUAAGUCUGAAGUAAAAGGCUGUUGCUGAGUCAUAGUAUGCUGUGGACACUGUCAAACUGGAGUGCAGAAGGGUAGAGUGUAAGUCCAUGUGUAGCGGUGAAAUGCGUAGAUAUAUGGCGGAACACCGGGGGCGAAAGCGGCUCUCUGGUCUGUAACUGACGCUGAGGCUCGAAAGCGUGGGGAGCAAACAGGAUUAGAUACCCUAGUAGUC
rnacentral:rRNA from 1 species